rnacentral:misc_RNA from 1 species
GACAUAUCUCAGGAAAGACAAACUAGAAACCAGGACCAGCGUAGUCUGAGACGUAGCUAGUGAACGAUCGAAUGUCUCGUUUGUCCUCUAACUUCCUCCUGUCUCAAGAUCAUGGUUAGAAAUGAUUGACAAUUCUAAUCCUAAUGUAGAACAAAGGAAAUUUUGAAGAAAAUGGCGAUCACAAGCAACGAUAAUGGUCAGCCUCCGGUUCGGCUUCGAAUUAAACGGCCGCACCCGGUCCACCCGGAGGAACCCGCCACCAUCUCCCAAAUAAGCAACCAAACUCGAAGCUUGUCGCUUACCUAAA